GAUGGCGGUGAUGACUCCAUGAAAUUCAAGCUCAACAGACCGGAAUGCAGGCUUCUCAUCUCUUGAGAACUUUGCGUGUCGACCACCCCGCUGAACUGAGCCAUC